CCAUGCACCGGGAGCCCGACGUGGGAUUCAAUCCCAGGUCUCCAGGAUCGCGCCCUGGGCCAAAGGCAGGCGCUAAACCGCUGCGCCACCCAGGGAUCCCAAUAUUUAGUUUUUUUAUACAAGGAACAAUCACAUCAGAAAAACAGGACAUCUACUCCUGGCUCAAAGUACUGAGGCCUGGAAAUACUGAGCUUACAAAUGAAACUAUACUAUUCAAGAGGUACAUCAUGGUCUUUGCAGUUUCUCAAAGGGUUCUUCCCUCCCCUGGGAGAGUGAAAUCACUUUAAUCUCACUAUGAAACAGGAACCUGAUGGCCUGAUUCAGCCAUGUAUAAAGAAAAUGUUUUUAAAUCAGUCUCCACUUAAAGCUACAAAUGUGAUGACAAAGG